CGCGGGAUGGAGCAGUCUGGUAGCUCGUCGGGCUCAUAACCCGAAGGUCGUCGGUUCAAAUCCGGCCCCCGCAACCA
rnacentral:tRNA from 2 species